rnacentral:tRNA from 1 species
AAUCUUUUAGUUUAUAAAAAACAUUAAAUUGCAAAUUUAAAAAAAUUUUUUUAAUAAAUUAAGAUUU